UCAUUUUUCAGUUGUUCAGGGUGAAGGUCACAUGUCAGCUCAGCUCCUCUGAACAUUACCGUUCCGUUUUGGUGUGGCAUGGCCAUUUCACCUUCUUUUCAAUAAACCUCGCUAACUACAAGACCUGCCUCUUCCUUGGGGGAUUUGUUGAAGAGAUUGACAAAGAUGUCAUUCCCUGCAUGGAAGAUGGAGACCUGGCAAAAUACAUUUCCUCAUUUGGGGAUCGUCUGGCAUUGAAGAGUUUCUGCAGAAAUGGGACAACACAAAAAACCAAAAUGGGUCUUUUUGAAAAGCUUAGGGUCAAGCUUGAGAAGCGAAAUAAUGCUGAGGAAAACCAAACACAAGAUGCAGAGCCAGCUGAUUCAUCAGCAGGUUCUUCAAACAAGAGGCGGAACGCAACCCAUCGAAAGAUUGAAAUUGGAUGGUUGCACUGUGAGGGAGAACAAAGGAAACAAAUACGAGGUUAACAGGGAGGAGGGACAAGAAUGGUACCUAUUGGAAUAGAAUGUGGAAUGGAUGAGGUCCUUCAAAAAGGAAAGAGGCUCUUCUUUCCAGAUGGAUUGUCAUCAAAAGGACAUGAAUCUGAGUUCAACUUUGAAUUGAGGGACUACAAACAGAACCCUGUCCAUGAGGAUGUAACCGUUGGAUUUAUCUAUGAUACUUUGUGCAUGGAGAUUUUAUGUUGCUACUUCCCCCAAGGAGUUGAAGGAUGAUAGUGCCACAGAUGGUGAAAAAUCAAAAGGCGGUGUAAUAACAAUAGAUGAGGAUGAGGAGGAUGAUCACCAGGACUCACAUGAUGCUUCACAACAGGAUGAUCUUCAGUGCGAUUCAGAGCAGAAUAAAAGUGAAAGAGUACAAGAGGAAGAGGAUGGUGCUACAAUCACUGGCAUACGAUAUGGCACACUGUUUGAAUGUGACCUGGUAACUGACAUUGAAUUAGAAGUAACCUUUGGUCCGGGUUGUCGUGAAAUUGAAGCUGACGCUGACGAUGACACAGAACCAUUUGAUUUUGGGUUUCAGCCCCAACUCCAACUGCAGCCACUCAUAACCUCGGAUGUUUCCUCGUCAUUGCAUUCUGCCUCCUCACUUCAGCAAGUCAUGGACCCACCACCUGAGCAACUGCUCUCCACACCAACAGUAUCCAAUGAUGCAUCUCCAGCACAACUACCUGGCUCCACAUCACAGGCCAGUCUCGCCCAAAUAAUAACCAUACACCACGGUAAUUGCCUAAAUGAGUUGAUUAAAGAGUUCAUGGAUCCUACUUUGCUCACACGCCCAUUAAUUAUGAGGAGAAUGCUUCCAGAUAACAGUGUAGAAAAGGGGAUUGGCGAAGGUGUUGUCAGAGAUAUUUACUGUUCUUUUUGGCAAGAAUUUUAUGAUCGCUGUACUGUUGGAGCAGCAGUCAGUUCCAUUCAUUAGGCAUGACUUUAGCUGUGAAACCUGGGAGGCCAUUGCCAGAAUUUUGCUUUCAGGUUUACAAACAUGUCAGUAUUUACCGAUAAAAUUAGCUCUUCCUCUGAUGGAGGACCUCUUUCAUGGAUCUGUGUGCAGCAACCUCCUAGAAAGCUUCCUUCAGUAUGUGAGUAUUCAGGACCAGGACAUUCUCAAAAAGGCGCUUGAGGAUUUCUCAUCAGUUGAUCCCAGUGAGCUCACGGAAGUCCUUCAGAACUACGAGUGCGGAAAGAUGAUCAAAGCGGAAACGCUUCCACAGAUCCUGAAGGAGAUUGCACAUAAAGAACUAGUACAAAAACCUAGGUAUGUAAUUGAUUGUUGGAAGCAGGUGAUGCAUGGAAAGGUCAACAUUGCUCAUGAGGACCUACUGGCACGCUAUCAGGCACUCAGACUCAAUCCAAGACGAGUUCAAGGUCUACUUGACUUCCAAGAGGUCAUGACCUCAAAACAGCGAGAGGUGGAAAACCACUUGAGAAGAUAUCUUAGAGAGUUAGACGAGGACCAUCUCGGAAAAUUCCUGCGUUUCACAACUGGUAGUGAUAUAAUGACUUGUACCAAAAUCCAGGUUGUCUUUACAAAUAUGUCAGACUUCUCCAGGAGGCCUAUUGGCCACACGUGGAUUUGUGCUGGAGGUGUCAGAUAGUUACGAUAACUUCCCAGAUUUUAGAUCAGAAUUCAAUGCUGUUUUGGACAGCAACAUCUGGGUUAUGGACAUUGUCUAGGCGUCUGAUGUUUUGCCCUGUCACAUGCAUGUUGCUCAGGGAUGUUUUUACAGGGCUUUGAAAACGCUGCUACCUGAAACGUUAAUUCUGUAACAGAUAUGUUUAUGUUCUCUAGCACUUCAGCUGUUUGCUUUAUACAGCCAACUGUAUAAUUGCACUCAUGCUUUAUACAGUUUAGGCUAUGUGUUUGAGUCUGACUGAGGUUUGUAUGUUUUGGCUUGUCACAUGCAUAUUGGUCAUAAAUGUUUCUACAUGCAUUUGAAAGUUUACUCCUCUUGAAAUAUUGAUCUAUACUUUUAUGUAUACUGUUCUCUAGCACUACAUAACUUUUGUUGUAUGCAUUUUUUUGUAUUUUUGUAAAGCUGUCAUGUUUUAUAUGGUGUAGGCCUAUGUGCUGUUUGAACACAAUAGGCCUAUGUGCUGUUUGAACACAAUAGGCCUAUGUGCUGUUUGUUGGAACUUGAGCUGCUCAGUGUACUUGAGUACAUUGAAAACAAUAAGUAAAAUGAGUUUUAAGUAAACGCUUUCGAAACCA